CACGCAGGCGGUUAUGCAAGUCUGAUGUGAAAUCUCCGGGCUCAACUCGGAAUCCGCGUUGGAAACUGCAUGACUAGAGUAUUAGAGGGGGAGUCGGAAUUCUUAGUGUAGGGGUGAAAUCUGUUGAUAUUAGGAAGAACACCGGUGGCGAAGGCGGACUCCUGGCUGAAUACUGACGCUGAGGUGCGAAAGCAUAGGGAGCAAACAGGAUUAGAUACCCUGGUAGUCUAUGCUGUAAACGAUGUGCACUUGGUGUUGGGCCGAUUAGGUUCAGUGCCGAAGCUAACGCGAUAAGUGCACCGCCUGGGGAGUAUGCCCGCAAGGGUGAA
rnacentral:rRNA from 1 species